GACGAACGCUGGCGGCGUGCUUAACACAUGCAAGUCGAACGGAAAGGCCCUGCUUUUGUGGGGUGCUCGAGUGGCGAACGGGUGAGUAACACGUGAGUAACCUGCCCUUGACUUUGGGAUAACUUCAGGAAACUGGGGCUAAUACCGGAUAGGAGCUCCUGCUGCAUGGUGGGGGUUGGAAAGUUUCGGCGGUUGGGGAUGGACUCGCGGCUUAUCAGCUUGUUGGUGGGGUAGUGGCUUACCAAGGCUUUGACGGGUAGCCGGCCUGAGAGGGUGACCGGCCACAUUGGGACUGAGAUACGGCCCAGACUCCUACGGGAGGCAGCAGUGGGGAAUAUUGCACAAUGGGCGGAAGCCGGAUGCAGCAACGCCGUGUGCGGGAUGACGGCCUUCGGGUUGUAAACCGCUUUCGCCUGUGACGAAGCGUGAGUGACGGUAAUGGGGAAAGAAGCACCGGCUAACUACGUGC
rnacentral:rRNA from 1 species